UCUAUUGCUCGAUGCGCCGAAUGAAACUGCGACUUUUUGCUCGUUCUCGGCUGAUCGUCAUAGCAACGCGUAAUGAUGUGUUUUUCGAUGUCCGAGGAUGUGACGAGUAUCUAAUAUACUCGUCUGAAGCUGGGCCAGAGACGUGCAGAUGAUGGGGGGUGAUGGAGUACUAGGAUACACAUGUUCGGUACACUGAUCAUUUCUCAUUUUCGUGGUCUUUUCCUCGAUUCAGGACGCUUGACAGGAUCUAAUCAAAUUGCUUUGAUGGGUUCAAUUAUAUAGCUCUUCUGCUCUUCCCCCACGUUGACCGAUCUGUUGGCCGCUUUCUUCCCCUUAUCCACCAACCUGUUUCUUUAAAAGAAAUAUAUAUUGCGUUUUUAUUAAAGAUUACUAUCCUACGGAUACCAUCUUUAUUAUCGUUUCAUUCCAUCUACUUUCGAUCGUUGCUGGCUAAGCCAUUUCCUAUUAAGCUAUUUCGGUUUUUAGUUGUAUCAAAUCUUAGGAUGUUUGAACAUGACGUUAGAAAUUAAGUGGACAAGUAAUUUAAGAGAUGUUUAACGGGUUAUGAUUUAAUGGCUUAAUGGCUUUCGGCUAGGAGCUAGGCUCUAUUGAUUUUUCUUUUAAGAGAUUACAAAACUUGCCAUCCUUAUAAAUUGUAUUGGAAUAUUCAUUAUUAUGUAUUAAUAAAUGUCCAGCCCAGGAUGAAGUAACAUCACAUGCAGAAUUGAUUGAAGGGGGAAUACAUGGUAAACUGUACUGUAGAUAUU